CUGGCUCAGAGCGAACGCUGGCGGCAGGCUUAACACAUGCAAGUCGAGCGGGCACUUUCGGGUGUCAGCGGCGGACGGGUGAGUAACGCGUGG
rnacentral:rRNA from 1 species